UCCAGACUCCUACGGGAGGCAGCAGUGGGGGAUAUUGCACAAUGGGGGGAACCCUGAUGCAGCGACGCCGCGUGGGUGAAGAAGCGCCUCGGCGCGUAAAGCCCUGUCAGCAGGGAAGAAGGAGGACGGUACCUGACUAAGAAGCCCCGGCUAACUACGUGCCAGCAGCCGCGGUAAUACGUAGGGGGCAAGCGUUAUCCGGAUUUACUGGGUGUAAAGGGGGCGCAGACGGCAGCGCAAGCCAGGAGUGAAAGCCCGGGGCCCAACCCCGGGACUGCUCUUGGAACUGCGCGGCUGGAGUGCAGGAGGGGCAGGCGGAAUUCCUGGUGUAGCGGUGAAAUGUGUAGAUAUCAGGAGGAACACCGGUGGCGAAGGCGGCCUGCUGGACUGCGACUGACGUUGAGGCCCGAAAGCGUGGGGAGCAAACAGGAUUAGAUACCCGGGUA
rnacentral:rRNA from 1 species